rnacentral:rRNA from 1 species
GUAACGCGUAGGUAACCUGCCUGGUAGCGGGGGAUAACUAUUGGAAACGAUAGCUAAUACCGCAUAAGAGUGGAUGUUGCAUGACAUUUGCUUAAAAGGUGCACUUGCAUCACUACCAGAUGGACCUGCGUUGUAUUAGCUAGUUGGUGGGGUAACGGCUCACCAAGGCGACGAUACAUAGCCGACCUGAGAGGGUGAUCGGCCACACUGGGACUGAGACACGGCCCAGACUCCUACGGGAGGCAGCAGUAGGGAAUCUUCGGCAAUGGACGGAAGUCUGACC